rnacentral:rRNA from 1 species
AUACGGAGGGUGCAAGCGUUAUUCGGAACCACUGGGCGUAAAGGGUGCGUAGGCGGUUUGGUAAGUCUGAUGUGAAAUCCUAUGGCUCAACCAUAGAACUGCAUUGGAAACUGCUAAACUAGAAUACUGAAGGGGCAGAUGGAAUUAGUGGUGUAGGGGUAAAAUCCGUAGAUAUCACUAGGAAUACCGAAAGCGAAAGCGAUCUGCUGGGAAGUUAUUGACGCUGAGGCACGAAAGCGUGGGGAGCAAACGGGAUUAGAAACCCUAGUAGUCC